AACGAACGCUGGCGGCAGGCUUAACACGUGCAAGUCGAGCGCCCCGCAAGGGGAGCGGCAGACGGGUGAGUAACGCGUGGGAACGUACCCUUUGCUACGGAAUAGCUCCGGGAAACUGGAGUUAAUACCGUAUGUGCCCUACGGGGGAAAGAUUUAUCGGCAAAGGAUCGGCCCGCGUUGGAUUAGCUAGUUGGUGGGGUAAUGGCCUACCAAGGCGACGAUCCAUAGCUGGUCUGAGAGGAUGAUCAGCCACAUUGGGACUGAGACACGGCCCAAACUCCUACGGGAGGCAGCAGUGGGGAAUAUUGGACAAUGGGCGCAAGCCUGAUCCAGCCAUGCCGCGUGAGUGAUGAAGGCCUUAGGGUUGUAAAGCUCUUUCACCGGAGAAGAUAAUGACGGUAUCCGGAGAAGAAGCCCCGGCUAACUUCGUGCCAGCCGCCGCCGUAAGAC
rnacentral:rRNA from 1 species